rnacentral:rRNA from 1 species
CUAGCCGUAAACGAUGGGUACUAGGUGUGGGUGGUUUCGAUACCAUCCGUGCCGUAGUUAACGCAUUAAGUACCCCGCCUGGGGAGUACGUGCGCAAGCAUGAAACUCAAAGGAAUUGACGGGGGCCCGCACAAGCGGUGGAGCAUGUGGUUUAAUUCGAUGCAACGCGAAGAACCUUACCAGGAUUUGACAUCCCUUGACAGUUGUAGAGAUACAACCUCUCUUUUAGAGCAAGGAGACAGGUGG